rnacentral:rRNA from 1 species
GAUGAAUGCUGGCGGCGCGCCUAACACAUGCAAGUCGAGCGGUAACAUGGACUUCGGUCUGAUGACGAGCGGCGGACGGCUGAGUAACGCGUGGGAACAUGCCCCAAAGUGAGGAAUAACUGCCCGCAAGGGUAGCUAAUGCCGCAUAUGAUCUUCGGAUUAAAGGAUUUAUCCGCUUUGGGAGUGGCCCGCGUUCGAUUAGGUAGUUGGUGAGGUAAAGGCUCACCAAGCCUACGAUCGAUAACUGGUCUAAGAGGAUGAUCAGUCAGACUGGAACUGAGACACGGUCCAGACUCCUACGGGAGGCAGCAGUGAGGAAUCUUCCACAAUGGGCGAAAGCCUGAUGGAGCGACGCCGCGUGCAGGAUGAAGGCCUUCGGGUUGUAAACUGCUUUUAUAAGUGAAGAAUAUGACGGUAACUUAUGAAUAAGCACCGGCUAACUACGUGCCAGCAGCCGCGGUA